rnacentral:rRNA from 1 species
AUUGAACGCUGGCGGCAGGCCUAACACAUGCAAGUCGAGCGAGCGGCGGACGGGUGAGUAAUGUCUGGGAAACUGCCCGAUGGAGGGGGAUAACUACUGGAAACGGUAGCUAAUACCGCAUACCAUCGGAUGUGCCCAGAUGGGAUUAGCUAGUAGGUGGGGUAAUGGCUCACCUAGGCGACGAUCCCUAGCUGGUCUGAGAGGAUGACCAGCCACACUGGGACUGAGACACGGUCCAGACUCCUACGGGAGGCAGCAGUGGGGAAUAUUGCACAAUGGGCGCAAGCCUGAUGCAGCCAUGCCGCGUGGAGGAAGAAGGCCUUAGGGUUGUAAAGUACUUUCAGCGGGGAGGCGUUACCCGCAGAAGAAGCACCGGCUAACUCCGUGCCAGCAGCCGCGGUAAUUC